rnacentral:rRNA from 1 species
AUUGAACGCUGGCGGCAGGCCUAACACAUGCAAGUCGAGCGAGAGGCGGACGGGUGAGUAAUGUCUGGGGAACUGCCCGAUGGAGGGGGAUAACUACUGGAAACGGUAGCUAAUACCGCAUACCAUCAGAGGUGCCCAGAUGGGGUUAGCUCGUUGGUGGGGUAAAGGCCUACACAGGCGACGAUCCGUAACUGGUCUGAGAGGAUGAUCAGGCACACGGGAACUGAGAAACGGUCCAGACUCCUACGGGAGGCAGCAGUGGGGAAUAUUGGACAAUGGGCGAAAGCCUGAUGCAGCCAUGCCGCGUGUGUGAAGAAGGUCUUCGGAUUGUAAAGCACUUUAAGUUGGGAGGCGUUACCAACAGAAGAAGCACCGGCUAACUUCGUGCCAGCAGCCGCGGUAAUUC